AGAGUUUGAUCCUGGCUCAGAUUGAACGCUGGCGGCACGCUUUACACAUGCAAGUCGAACGGUAACAGGGAGCUUGCUCCGCUGACGAGUGGCGAACGGGUGAGUAAUGCAUCGGAACGUGCCUAUUUGUGGGGGAUAACGUAGCGAGAGUUACGCUAAUACCGCAUACGCCCUGAGGGGGAAAGCGGGGGAUUCGUAAGAACCUCGCGCAAUUAGAGCGGCCGAUGUCGGAUUAGCUAGUUGGUGGGGUAAAGGCUCACCAAGGCGACGAUCCGUAGCGGGUCUGAGAGGAUGAUCCGCCACACUGGGACUGAGACACGGCCCAGACUCCUACGGGAGGCAGCAGUGGGGAAUUUUGGACAAUGGGCGAAAGCCUGAUCCAGCCAUGCCGCGUGAGUGAAGAAGGCCUUCGGGUUGUAAAGCUCUUUCAGCCGGAAAGAAAUCGCGCAGGCUAAUACU
rnacentral:rRNA from 1 species